rnacentral:rRNA from 1 species
UGGGGAAUAUUGCACAAUGGGCGAAAGCCUGAUGCAGCAACGCCGCGUGAGUGAUGAAGGUCUUCGGAUUGUAAAGCUCUGUCUUUUGGGACGAUAAUGACGGUACCAAAGGAGGAAGCCACGGCUAACUACGUGCCAGCAGCCGCGGUAAUACGUGGGUGGCGAGCGUUGUCCGGAUUUACUGGGCGUAAAGGGUGCGUAGGCGGAUGUUUAAGUGAGAUGUGAAAUACCCCGGGCUUAACUUGGGUGCUGCAUUU